AACAAAACGGCAGAUUCAAAUUAAGCGCUCGUUUUGAUCCGCUAAUAUAAGGGGAAUAUUUUAAUUUAUAUUUUAUUUUAUGUAAUUUACCAAGAAGUAAUUUACCGCAAGGACUACGAAGAUACCCGUCUACUUCACUCAAACACUAAUAUGCUACUCCAAAGCGAACAGUCUCAUGCUGACCAAAUGCCAAACUCAUCAAAUGACGAAGUUAUUCUCUAUAGCAUUCCCAAUCCAGCACUAGAGGAAGGAGUGUUCAAAAAUAUGAGAGAUACUGCUCACAGGCCGCAUAUUCAGAAGGACGCAAAUCGAAAAAGAGUUUCACAAUUAAUGAAGUUGCCACAAAGAAACACAAACAAGUCAAUUCAAAGAAAUUUCCGCAAAAUAUUGUCACCUCGAGGACACUUCUAAUCUUCAAAAUGAUCAAAUGACAAAUGAAAA